GCGAUGAGCUAAUUUGCAUAAGACGAGGAACAUGCUUUACGCACGUUAGGGAUGUGGCCCAACGGUUUCUCGCCGCAAACGCAUCAAAGACGCCUGCUUUGCAGGCGUC
rnacentral:sRNA from 1 species